CCUACGGGUGGCAGCAGUGGGGAAUAUUGGACAAUGGGGGGAACCCUGAUCCAGCCAUGCCGCGUGUGUGAAGAAGGCCCUCGGGUUGUAAAGCACUUUCAGUGAGGAAGAACGCCUGGUGGUUAAUACCCAUCAGGAAAGACAUCACUCACAGAAGAAGCACCGGCUAACUCCGUGCCAGCAGCCGCGGUAAUACGGAGGGUGCGAGCGUUAAUCGGAAUUACUGGGCGUAAAGCGCGCGUAGGUGGCUUGAUAAGCCGGUUGUGAAAGCCCCGGGCUCAACCUGGGAACGGCAUCCGGAACUGUCAAGCUAGAGUGCAGGAGAGGAAGGUAGAAUUCCCGGUGUAGCGGUGAAAUGCGUAGAGAUCGGGAGGAAUACCAGUGGCGAAGGCGGCCUUCUGGACUGACACUGACACUGAGGUGCGAAAGCGUAGGUAGCAAACAGGAUUAGAUACCCGGGUAGUC
rnacentral:rRNA from 1 species